UGGGGAAUAUUGGACAAUGGGCGCAAGCCUGAUCCAGCAACGCCGCGUGGAGGAUGAAGGUCUUCGGAUCGUAAACUCCUGUCAGACGGGACGAAGGUACGAGGGUGAAUAAUUCUCGUGCUUGACGGUACUGUCAGAGGAAGCCCCGGCUAACUCCGUGCCAGCAGCCGCGGUAAUACGGAGGGGGCGAGCGUUAUUCGGAAUUAUUGGGCGUAAAGGGCGCGUAGGCGGCUGAACAAGUCAAAGGUGAAAUCCCUCGGCUCAACUGAGGAACUGCCUUUGAAACUGUUCGGCUUGAGGCCGGGAGGGGGUAGCGGAAUUCCCAGUGUAGCGGUGAAAUGCGUAGAUAUUGGGAGGAACACCAGUGGCGAAGGCGGCUACCUGGACCGGUUCUGACGCUGAGGCGCGAAAGCGUGGGUAGCAAACAG
rnacentral:rRNA from 1 species